rnacentral:rRNA from 1 species
CCAACCCGCGAGGGGGAGCUAAUCCCCAGAAAGUGUAUCGUAGUCCGGAUUGGAGUCUGCAACUCGACUCCAUGAAGUUGGAAUCGCUAGUAAUCGCGGAUCAGCAUGUCGCGGUGAAUACGUUCCCGGGUCUUGUACACACCGCCCGUCACACCAUGGGAGCGGGUUUUACCAGAAGUAGGUAGCUUAACCGCAAGGAGGGCGCUUACCACGGUAGGAUUCGUGACUGGGGUGAAGUCGUAACAAGGUAGCCGUAUCGGAAGGUGCGGCUGGAUCACCUCCUUUCUG